rfam:Arabidopsis thaliana chromosome 2, complete sequence.
CGCUGGGUAGAGGAAGAAAACUCAUCAGGCUCAUGACCUGAAGACUGCAGGUUCGAAUCCUGUCCCCGCCU